rnacentral:rRNA from 1 species
GUACACUCCUGCGGGAGGCAGCAGUGGGGAAUAUUGCACAAUGGGCGCAAGCCUGAUGCAGCCAUGCCGCGUGUAUGAAGAAGGCCUUCGGGUUGUAAAGUACUUUCAGCGGGGAGGAAGGCGAUAAGGUUAAUAACCUUGUUGAUUGACGUUACCCGCAGAAGAAGCACCGGCUAACUCCGUGCCAGCAGCCGCGGUAAUACGGAGGGUGCAAGCGUUAAUCGGAAUUACUGGGCGUAAAGCGCACGCAGGCGGUCUGUCAAGUCGGAUGUGAAAUCCCCGGGCUCAACCUGGGAACUGCAUUCGAAACUGGCAGGCUAGAGUCUUGUAGAGGGGGGUAGAAUUCCAGGUGUAGCGGUGAAAUGCGUAGAGAUCUGGAGGAAUACCGGUGGCGAAGGCGGCCCCCUGGACAAAGACUGACGCUCAGGUGCGAAAGCGUGGGGAGCAAACAGGAUUAGAUACCCGAGUAGUCCCAUG